rnacentral:rRNA from 1 species
UACGUAGGGGGCAAGCGUUGUCCGGAAUCAUUGGGCGUAAAGCGCGCGUAGGCGGCCCGGUAAGUCCGUUGUGAAAGUCAAAGGCUCAACCUUUGAACGCCGAUGGAUACUGCCGGGCUAGAGUCCGGAAGAGGCGAGUGGAAUUCCUGGUGUAGCGGUGGAAUGCGCAGAUAUCAGGAGGAACACCGAUUGCGAAGGCAGCUCGCUGGGACGUUACUGACGCUGAGACGCGAAAGCGUGGGGAGCAAACAGG